rnacentral:rRNA from 1 species
UAAGCAUAUCAAUAAGCGGAGGAAAAGAAACCAACAGGGAUUGCCCUAGUAACGGCGAGUGAAGCGGCAACAGCUCAAAUUUGAAAUCUGGCUUUCGGGCCCGAGUUGUAAUUUGUAGAGGAUGAUUUUGAUGCGGUGCCUUCCGAGUUCCCUGGAACGGGACGCCAUAGAGGGUGAGAGCCCCGUCUGGUUGGAUGCCAAAUCUCUGUAAAUCUCCUUCGACGAGUCGAGUAGUUUGGGAAUGCUGCUCUAAAUGGGAGGUAUAUGUCUUCUAAAGCUAAAUACCGGCCAGAGACCGAUAGCGCACAAGUAGAGUGAUCGAAAGAUGAAAAGCACUUUGAAAAGAGAGUUAAAAAGUACGUGAAAUUGUUGAAAGGGAAGCGUUUAUGACCAGACUUGGGCUUGGUUAAUCAUCUGGGGUUCUCUCCAGUGCACUUUUCCAGCCCAGGCCAGCAUCAGUUUUCGCCGGGGGAUAAAGACUUCGGGAAUGUGGCUCCCCUCGGGGAGUGUUAUAGCCCGUUGUGUAAUACCCUGGUGGGGACUGAGGUUCGCGCUUCUGCAAGGAUGCUGGCGUAAUGGUCAUCAACGACCCGUCUUGAAACACGGACCAAGGAGUCGUCUUCGUAUGCGAGUGUUCGGGUGUCAAACCCCUACGCGUAAUGAAAGUGAACGCAGGUGAGAGCUUCGGCGCAUCAUCGACCGAUCCUGAUGUUCUCGGAUGGAUUUGAGUAAGAGCAUACGGGGCCGGACCCGAAAGAAGGUGAACUAUGCCUGUGUAGGGUGAAGCCAGAGGAAACUCUGGUGGAGGCUCGCAGCGGUUCUGACGUGCAAAUCGAUCGUCAAACAUGGGCAUGGGGGCGAAAGACUAAUCGAACCUUCUAGUAGCUGGUUCC